GACAGCUGGAAUGCCAGAUGAAUAGUGGUCAUCAGCCCAUGUCCUGAGGAAUAUUUAGGAUGCUUAGAAAUGGGAAAGUCACCAAUUGACCGCUGUUGGAUGAAGGGAGUAGGCUCCGGAUUGUCUAGAAAGUUCACAAACUUGAUGGGAGUUGGGGGUGGAAAUCCUGCAGACCCAUCUGAGUUAAGGUUCCAAUGAAGGGUUCUGGGAAUUGGCACAGAACACACCCAGACACCAAAUUCUCAGCACAAAGGAGAUUUUAUUUGACAAGCAGAGGGGUGGGAAUGGGCUGUCUCCGGAUUGGCCAAGGACAGCGGCAGGUGGCUCUUCAGGAGAGGCUUGUAAGGAACAGAAAGGGAAGUCUGGGUUAGGUGAGUUGGUAAGUCCUGAUUGGACCUGUUAGCCAGUGUAGCAGAUAAUGAAUUUUGAUCUCUGGACCUUGGUGGUCAGCCUCAGGCUUGAGUUAGGCAUAAGGAAGUGGCCAAAUGAGGGAAGGCCCUUGGUGGCUAGCUUUAGGAAUUGGAAGUGGGGGAGGGAAGAUCUGUUGGUACUGUGUUUGUAAUGCUUGGGCCUGUUAGAAACCCUCUAGAAUAAUCUUGCCAUCCAUAAUAUAAAUAAAUGGCACUCAGAUAGUGUCUGGUGGACAGCUGCUGGUGCUCAAAGUCCCUUCAUUUGCACCAAAUAGUUGGGAUUUCUUGGAGGCUUAGAUAACCAGUAUUGAUGUCUCCACAUUUUCUCAGAGCAGAUGGUGUUAGACCAUGCACCUUACAGGAAGGCUGUUAUAGCAACCACAUAAGACACUUUGAGAAUAUCACUGAGCACUUCAAUAGAUUGAAGCUGUAGAUCAUUUUGUUCUUGUUCUUGCCAGACCUGAAUCCAGCAUACUCACCGUUUGUAUUUGGAGGAACACGUGGCUGGAACGGAUUCUGGAAUCAUCCUUUGAUACCUAAAAUGGGUGUGCAAGUUGACAGUGGACAAGAAGGCGUCUGGGAUUGAUGGAUCAGAUGAUGGGUCUGUGAAGACAAUGAAGCCAGGAAUUCCCAGUGAGCCCAGCCAGCCAUGCCUGAUCCAUCAAGGGAGGUAGGCCAAGGGAGCUUCAUGAACUGGCCCCCGCCAUGGAUCCCCAGAUCAUGCCAGGGAAACACUGGUCUGCCAGGUGGAGAAGAAGGGACGAUCUGCUUUGUCCUCCUGAUUCAUGGCGGUCAAAAUAAGCUGAGCUUCUCUCAGUUUCUUCCUAGCUGGGCCCUCACUGAGGACAAGACUCGAGUCAUCCAUGUUCUACGUGAUGUCUAAACCAUUCCGACCUUUGCUCUCCACCUCUAACCCCGCUGCUUCCCUCCUCAACGUCUGACUCUGAUUCCAUCUUCACCCUGGGUUACCAUGACUACCCCAAACAUGAGCUCCACAAUCUCUCGGGGUCCUCAGCUGCCCACCUUCAGUCUUGGGACCUGUGUGACUUCUCCCUGUGUGAAGAGGAGCUCCUCUGCCCUCCCGGUGUGGUACUGCACUGCUGUCACACUUUCUUACCCCUCAUCCCUUCCCUCCCCUCCGCCACUGGCUCAACUGCACGGCUGAGUGGGGAUGAACCUCGAGGACGUUAGGGCAAGGAAGCCAUGGCGGUGUAAAGUUACACACCCAACCACUGCAUUUCAAGGUGUGAUCCACGCAGUGCUGAGGCACAACAUGCAAACCAAUAAAGAUCUUUCUACACAAUUGAAAGAGAAGAAGGAAUCACAGGAGAACGCCGUGUGCACAGGUCGGCCCUUCCCGAGAUCUGAGUUUGGUGACUGGGAUCUCUCCGGAUCUAGAAAUAAGCCACCUGGUUGUGGCCUACCAGACUGUUGUGUGAGUCUCAGGUCCUGUAACAAGAAGAGAAUACGCACACGGGAGCGCUUGGAUGUGCACAAAGGCAAGUGCUGCUCCAUAGAGAGAAAUGCAGUCAUUAGAAUGAACGCCCUUGGCUUGUUUAAUGUUUAAUAUGUACAGCUUUUAGGUAUGAUCUCUAUAGCCUGUUCACAUAUGAUCUUGACUCUCAAUCACCAUCCAGAUUCAAAAGGAACUGGAAGUUUGAAAAAUAGCUUUUAAUAACAAAGUUUACAAAAAGCUCUCAAGGUUGGAACACAUCACUAACAUGUGCUCAGAGACCAAAGAGAUCGAAUGGCUUGACUCUGCUGAGAGAGAGACUUGGCCAGUGUGCUUCUAAGAGGCAGAGAGGAGGAGGCCCACCCUCGGGGAGGACAUAUUUGCUUACAUGAAUCCAGCCUAUAGUGAGCAGCCCCAGUUCCUCCUGAAUCAUAAACAGCUCUCCUCAUUCUUCGUGUGACAAUAAUCAGGGCCUCUGUCUUGCUCUGGGAUAAUCACAUGUCUUAUGAGGUACACUUCUCUCACCUGCCAUGAGAAAACUUGUCACAAUUUCCUGGGGGCCAUAAUGACCCACAGUGGGCAGAAAUUUUCUUCUCCAAGUCGGGCCAGGGCUGACUGGGAGCUGUGACUGUGGACUUUGCUCUCAGCUUGAGUGGAUGGAGUGAUAUUUCUGGAUUUGACUGUGAAGUGAUUCUGAAGAAACUUAUGUGUGGUUCACAGACUCGGUAGGCAAGGCCCACCCUUCACUCAGGCAGCAAUGUGAAGCCAUCUGAGAGCCGCACUGGGAGAAGCAGUGUGGAGCAGACACUUCCUCUGCGUCUCCUGGGAUAGACAUGCUUGCUUUAGCUUUCUUCAUCAGAUAUCCAAGUCUGUUCACUCUGAGGAGUGAGCGUGUGGUUCUCUAGUCUCUUCAGAUUCUCAGACUGAGACUCACAAAAGUGGCUUCCCUGGUCUGUGCCUUUCAGACAUGGGCUGCGCCAAGCUACAGUAUUCCAGAGUGUCCGCCUGAAGAAAGCCUGCUGUGGGGAUGCUCAGGCAUAUUGCCACAGAAUGUCCCCAGUAGAGCGAUGCUGUAGGGACGGGGCAGCCCCUCGAGGCCCUGGAACUGCAGGGCGAUCAUGCGCUCAUGCAGCCUGGCAAAGCUGCAGCCCGAGACUCCAACUGUGAAAGCGAAUGUGCACUGAGCCCAGCACAGCCACAGCGGCAGGUCCUCAGCUUAGCUGGAGUCAGUCACCCCUCUCCCGAUUAUUUCUCCCAGAUGAACAGGAACUGAACAGCUGGCUCCUGCUCCUUCAUCACAUUUUGCCAGUGUGUGCUCUUCUGACUGCACAGGCUCACGGCUGCAGAAGGCUAACUCAUCAUCAGGAAGCCUGGUGGUUACAGCCAGGCAAGGCUGAUCAUCUCACCUGUGUCUAAUUGAGACAGCACUACAGUUAGAAGACUGUCCUCAUCCAAGAUGAAGUUUUUGACUCAUUCAAGUCAAAGGCCAUUUUUAUAAAUUAGGGUGGCAGGACACAAAAGGACAGCACUCAUCACACGAGGUUCUGCACCACAGCAGAAUAAGCAGGACCAUGGAAGCAGAGGAGACUGAGGACGUGGACGGGGGACGCAGCCUUCUCUGUGGUGCUCAGUGCCCCAGACUUCAGACACAUGUCCACCAGCACUGCCUGGCCUUACCAGUGAGCCCCAGUCUCACGCUGUGUGGCUGACCCAGACGCAUUGGGGACCACUUCUGCACAAGGCUUUUCCAAGGCAGGAACCUGUGGUAACUUACCUGGCCUUGUUUUCAUCACACUCCCCCAGGCUGAGUGGCUGAUGUGGGACUAAGUCGUCGUCAGAGGCUUCCUCUGGGCCACACCCCAGUGGUGGCUUGAAAGGUGCGGUUCCUGCUGAAGAGGCUUCAGCCUUUGUAGAUGACCAUGCUGCACCAGGGCGCACGCCCGCGCGCGCACACACACACACACAUACACACUUUCUUCCUCACUACCCACUAGCCCAGCUGUGUGAGAGCCCCCUUUGGCAAAUCCUUCUAAGGUUUUUGUAGAACAGUUUUGAUAUCUUCCCAGAAAGCAGCAUUCUAUGCCACUUCCUAUCUAAUACAGAAAGAGAAAAGUAUUUAGGCUAACACUUCAAAUCUCGGAAGAAAAAGCAUAGUCAGCACAGAGAUGACCAAAACAUAGUCCAGGCCCGACAUCACAGCAUAGAAUCUGUGCUCCCCUCUGUAACCAUAAGCAUAAUGGCGCCGUGGUACACAGAUGCUACCCAUGUACUCAGUGGCUAUAUGGCUGUCUUCUGUAACAGCUAAGUCUCAAUUUUCUCAGGAAUCUACUUCGCUCUGUGUGUGCACACUUGUGCCUGUGUGUGUGUGAUCACGUGCACGUACAUAUGUGCAAGCGAGAGCGGAGGUUAGACAUAGAUUUUUUUGGUAUGUACUUCCAAUGUGGUCUACCUUAUUUUCUCUGGGAAAGGGUCUUUAAUUAAUCUGAAACUCUCACAGUCGGCCUGGCUGGCUGGCCAGUGAGCCCCAGGAGUUGACCCAACCUGUAAUUGCCUCCUUAGUAUUGUGGCUAUCAGCACUUAUAACUCUGCACGUGUUUUUAUUAUCAUUAUCCUCGUUAAUUCUUGAACUCUUGGGUCCUCAUGCUUGCCUGACUAGCCCUUUAUGGACUGAAUGUCUCCAGCCUUCAUUUAAAGCUUCACUCUAA
rnacentral:sRNA from 1 species